ensembl:lncRNA
CUGCCUGGAAAUCCUGUGGAAGGAGCCGAGGCCCAAAAUACGCCCUUGUGGCAGAUCCGGUUGAUCCAUGGAGGCUUCUUUUGGGGCAGGGAAGGCAGGCCUGGAAUCCUGGCUGGAUCCUCCUUGCCAUCAACAGGCCAGAGUUUCCAGAUUUUUCCUCGAGUCCCGCUGGAUUCAAGUGAGCCUCAACAUCUGGGUUCAAUUAGCCCAGAUCUGGGCGUCAGCAGGCAGCGCAAGGGAAGCAAGCGCGCCUCGGCUGUUCCUCCACAGUGCCUCUCGAGAAGAAAGCCUUUUGGGGCUGUGCCACAAAGAAGAGGGGUCACCCUAUUCUCCAAAGCAUCUUGAGGGCAGAACAAGAGGAAACCGAGGAGAGACCCAACCAAGGAGAAAUUUCCUAAGAGUGAGGACGCUUAACCAGUGGAGCAGCUUUCCUCUAGAAGUUGUGGAUGCUCCAUCACUGGAGGUUUUCAAGAAGAGAUUGGACAGCCAUCUGUCUGAAAUGGACUGUGGCAGCAUCCUCAAGAUCGGGAACCAAAUUCAGGGGUCAGCCCCUGGCCUCCACUGACUACCGCGGCAGUGUCCUGGGGGUUGGGGGGUGUCGCAUGAUCAUCUUUUGGACAAGCCAAAUCUACAAGGAAGCCGGAUCCACUUAACAACCAUGGUAACAGCUUCAUUCACUUCACAACUGUGGCAAGAAAGGUAAUAAAACGGUGCAAAAUGGACUUAAACAUUUAACUCAACCACAGCAACUGCCUUGGGCUCAAUUGGGACAGCAGGCUGAGGAUUCCCUGCAUUUCCUUCGGGGGGGGGAAGCCUCCGAGGGGGAUUAACCUCCGCUGCCUUGCCUGCUGGCGUCUUGAAGGAAAGGAGGUUCCCUCUGGAGGGAGGACAUGGCCAGGUCAGUUGGAGAGCCCAGGAGGGUCUCCAAGGAUGGCCAGAAGCAGCCACAAAGCCUCUUUGGGGCCUGGGAGAGAAGGACAGUGGGGGGGAUGUCUUUCUCUCCCAGCCUCCACUUAUCCAGACCUUUCUCCGGAGACGAGGCAACGCAGGCGACCCCCACGUUGGGAAGCCAUUCCAGGCCCCCCUCUUUUGGGGGCCUUUGCGGAAAUGGGGUCCUCCUCUCCAAGGAGGGGAGAUUGCAGGCCAGCCAUAAACACCCCCCCCCCAUUCCAACAUCUCAGGGCACAGCCAGCUGCGGCCACAGCCUCCCUUGACCCCCCUGUAAAGAUCACAGCCCUGUCCUGGUCUUCGGGCUGCUGUCCCCGCCCCACACAGUGGCUGCCUUCCUCCCCACUAUGUCAUCUCUGAAGCUGGCCUAACAGGCCAUCUUGGGGGCUUCUGCAUGGCCAGACUGGAGCUGAGGGAUAGGGAGGGGGGAAUAGAAAGGCAGGGCUUUGUAGCCAAAACAAAAUUGUUUCUCCUGCGAACCAAGGACAUUCCCACAGGUGGCUGAAGAGAGAAGUGAAGUUUGCAAGCAACUGGACAGCACCUUGAUUGAACAUCAUGACUGUUUGGGAAAGGGGGAAAAUUUACUUUUAAAUAGGUGAGUCGGUUUUCACCAGUCUGUGCCAAUACGAUAUAUCCAAUAAACCUGUUGAGG